rnacentral:rRNA from 1 species
AGUAUUUUAACUGUGCAAAGGUAGCAUAAUCAUUAGUCUUUUAAUUGAAGGCUGGAAUGAAUGGUUGGACGAAAUAUUAACUGUUUCAUUUAAAAUUUUUAUAGAAUUUUAUUUUUUAGUCAAAAAGCUAAAAUAAAUUUAUAAGACGAGAAGACCCUAUAAAUCUUUAUAUUUUAUUUAUUUUAAUUAUAAAGAUUAAUUUUAUUAUAAUAAAUAAAAAUAUUUUAUUGGGGUGAUAUUCAAAUUUAAUAACUUUUAAUUUUUUAAAACAUUAAUUUAUGAAUAAUUCAUCCAUUAAUAAUGAUUAAAAAAUUAAGUUACUUUAGGGAUAACAGCGUAAUUUUUUUGGAGAGUUCAUAUCGAUAAAAAAGAUUGCGACCUCGAUGUUGGAUUAAGAUAUAAUUUUGGGUGUAGCCGUUCAAAUUUUAAGUCUGUUCGACUUUUAAAUUCUUACAUGAUCUGAGUUCAAACCGGCGUAAGCCAGGUUGGUUUCUAUCUUUAAAAAUUUAUAAUAUUUUAGUACGAAAGGACCAAAUAUUAAAAUAAUUAUAUUUUUAAAAAAGAAUAUUAUUAUAACAAAAUAAGCUAUUUUGGCAGAUUAGUGCAAUAAAUUUAGAAUUUAUUUAUGUAAAUUUUAUUACAAAUAGUACUUGUUUUAUAUAGAAUUGAUUAUAUCUUUAAUUGGUAGUUUGUUAUUAAUUAUUUGUGUAUUAGUAAGAGUAGCUUUUUUAACUUUAUUAGAACGUAAAGUUUUAGGGUAU